UGAGCAGAAAGAGUAGCAUGA
rnacentral:siRNA from 1 species